rnacentral:rRNA from 1 species
UACGUAGGGCGCAAGCGUUGUCCGGAAUUAUUGGGCGUAAAGAGCUCGUAGGCGGUCUGUCACGUCUGCCGUGAAAACCCGAGGCUCAACCUCGGGCCUGCAGUGGGUACGGGCAGACUAGAGUGCGGUAGGGGAGAUUGGAAUUCCUGGUGUAGCGGUGGAAUGCGCAGAUAUCAGGAGGAACACCAAUGGCGAAGGCAGAUCUCUGGGCCGUAACUGACGCUGAGGAGCGAAAGCGUGGGGAGCGAACAGG